UACGUAGGGUGCAAGCGUUGUCCGGAAUUAUUGGGCGUAAAGAGCUCGUAGGCGGUUUGUCGCGUCGGCUGUGAAAUCCCGAGGCUCAACCUCGGGCCUGCAGUCGAUACGGGCAAACUAGAGUGUGGUAGGGGAGAGUGGAAUUCCCGGUGUAGCGGUGAAAUGCGCAGAUAUCGGGAAGAACACCCGUGGCGAAGGCGGCUCUCUGGGACGGUACUGACGCUGAGACGCGAAAGCGUGGGGAGCGAACAGG
rnacentral:rRNA from 1 species